CUUGGGAACGGAUUUCGUGCCAAUUGGAAGGUUCCGUGUUAUGCAGGGCUCUGACGAAGCUGGAACAACUCGUGCUUCAACAACGUAGCGACACUAGCACAACCGUGGAACCUUUUUUUUUUUUAUUCGGACGUACUGGAUGAUGCGGGGUUUUCCCACAGACGUGUGCCGGUUCCGGAGUACCCUGCUGCUGAAUUCACGCCCCCUUUCGUUCCCUUCGCCGUAAUCCUCUUUCCUGGGUGAAAGAUAUGGUUUCAGUGUUUGUGUCGAAGUCAAAUUCCACAAAUGGAGUUACGGAUACGUUGUAGGACGCAUGCGACAUCACUGGAAUCUUCUCUGCCUAAGCAAGGAUGGUCCGACAGGCUCCUAGAUUUGUACCAGCUUCGCCAUCCAGUGACUCUACGGAUUCCUGCAGAGUUGGACGUAUCCCGAACUUCCGCCAGAAAUCGUAGCCCAGGAUGCAUCGCCGGUUCAAAUCGGGGGCGACAAGUACGGACAACAACCUGGUGACCCCAUUGAAGGUGACCGGGAUAUCUACGGCCCCUAUGACCUCCAGAUGUUGGCCUCCAGCUGUUGAGAGUUUGAUGUUGGAAUCGAGUUGACGUUUGCGGCUAACAUGGCGAUUCGACAGUCCUCGCGGGUGUUCCGGAACAGCAAAUCGAACCGACGUUUUUCAUCCCACGGAAUGGAAAGACUACGGAAGAUCCGCACCAUGUCCAGGUAGUAGUCUUGGAAUUUCUCCCUGGCUCCCUGUCGACGGUUACAAGCCUGCCGUUCGUAAACGUAGUCCAUAUCGACAGGUCAAUACGCAACAACCGCUCGCACUGGCUACGCGUCAUGCUCGGAUCGAACGGAAUUUUCCGGAUGUUAAGCUCAUGCUCGAGUUCAUCAAUGGUGAGAUGAGCUGGGUUCAACGCGUGGUACUGCGAGAGAAGGUGUGACAUCUCCAUAGUUUUAAUAUCACAGGUGAAUAAAAUUUACUUUGAAUUUACUAAGUAUUCUAAUUACGCUUCACAAAUUUUAAAUCUAAGCUAAAAAGUACAAAAAUAAGCUUCAACAAAAAUUUAUCCAAUCACAAACAAUACAGUACAAUGCGACUAGAAUAAAACGUUUGGGUAGUGGGUUACAAAACUAUAAUAAAUUAAAAUUUUCAAAUUUGAAUAUUAAGUUAAAGAAACGUAAGCACAGACGAAACAGUUUAAAAAAACGACAAUCAAAAUCGAAUAGCAAAAGUUGACUAGUAAUAAGAUGAGGGGAAUAAAAUUGAUUGGGAUUGGGUUCUUGUUUGAAUUCUCUUUUCCACCCCCCACCGAGAAAGAAAAUUUUCCGGAUUUCCGAGAAAAUUUUAUCUUCGACCUAAAAUGUUUUUUAAAACGUUUUCAACUAGUUGGUUACUAUUCGAAAUUUCUUUGGAUGUCCAAGACCCCUCGAAUCGGAAACAAAUCGAAUUCGAACUGGUUGUUUCCCACUAGGUGUAGUGUGUUAAGGCAAAUUUCCAAGAGGUUCUGGGCGUUUUCCCAGAGACCCAAGCAGAAGUGGCUUCAGAGAAAAGUGUCUGCCGAGCGUAUCCAAAUCGCAAAAGCAACUUUUACGUUAUGGGCGCCAAGUAUAACAAAUGGUCGGCUAGCGGGUUCAGCGGUGCUGAAACUCCCUUGUAUGUAUG